UGCGUAGACGGUUGCAUAAGUCGGAUGUGAAAUCCCCGGGCUCAACCUGGGAAUUGCAUUCGAGACUGUGUAGCUGGGGUGCGGAAGAGGGAAGCGGAAUUUCCGGUGUAGCGGUGAAAUGCGUAGAUAUCGGAAGGAACAUCAGUGGCGAAAGCGGCUUCCUGGUCCAGCACCGACGUUCAGGCACGAAAGCGUGGGGAGCAAACAGGAUUAGAUACCCUGGUAGUCCACGCCAUAAACGAUGAGAACUAGACGUUGAGAGGGUAAGCCUCCCAGUGUCGUAGCUAACGCGCUAAGUUCUCCGCCUGGGGAGUACGGCCGCAAGGUUGAA
rnacentral:rRNA from 1 species